UACGUAGGGUGCAAGCGUUAAUCGGAAUUACUGGGCGUAAAGCGUGCGCAGGCGGUUUUGUAAGUCUGACGUGAAAUACCCGGGCUCAACCUGGGAAUUGCGUUGGAGACUGCAAGGCUAGAAUCUGGCAGAGGGGGGUAGAAUUCCACGUGUAGCAGUGAAAUGCGUAGAGAUGUGGAGGAACACCGAUGGCGAAGGCAGCCCCCUGGGUCAAGAUUGACGCUCAUGCACGAAAUCGUGGGGAGCAAACAGG
rnacentral:rRNA from 1 species